ACGAAGCCACUCGGGUUAAUAGCCCAGAGGGUGACGGUACCUCCAGAAGAAGCCCCGGCUAACUACGUGCCAGCAGCCGCGGUAAUACGUAGGGGGCUAGCGUUGUCCGGAUUUAUUGGGCGUAAAGAGCGUGUAGGCGGCUAGGUAGGUCCGUUGUGAAAACUCGAGGCUCAACCUCGAGACGUCGAUGGAAACCAUCUGGCUAGAGUCCGGAAGAGGAGAGUGGAAUUCCUGGUGUAGCGGUGAAAUGCGCAGAUAUCAGGAAGAACACCCGUGGCGAAGGCGGCUCUCUGGUACGUGACUGACGCUGAGACGCGAAAGCGUGGGGAGCGAACAGGAUUAGAUACCCUGGUAGUCCACGCCGUAAACGAUGGGUGCUAGGUGUGGGCGGUGUCGACUCCGUCCGUGCCGAAGCUAACGCAUUAAGCACCCCGCCUGGGGAGUACGGCCGCAAGGCUAAAACUCAAAGGAAUUGACGGGGGCCCGCACAAGCAGCGGAGCAUGUUGUUUAAUUCGACGCGACGCGAAGAACCUUACCAGGGCUUGACAUGCACGGGAAUGUCGUAGAAAUACNGCAGCCCUUCGGGGCUCGUGCACAGGUGGUGCAUGGCUGUCGUCAG
rnacentral:rRNA from 1 species